UUGGUGGAGCUGGAUGACGCCUGUAUUGCCAAUCUGAAAUUCAUCAUGUUGUGUUUCGAAGCCGUUUCUGGUCUUAAGAUUAAUUUCGCCAAGAGUGAGGUUAUGGUGACGGGUGUUGAUGGGGCGGAAGCCUUGCAGGUUGCCAGGCUCCUUAACUGCUCAUUAGGCUCCUUCCCCUUCAAGUAUUUAGGCCUUCCUAUCUCUCCUGGAAUGCUUCAUGCGAAUGAUUUCGCUCCGGCGGUUGCUAAAGUGGGGAACAGGGUGCUCCCUUGGAGGGGUAGAUAUAAUACCAAUGCCGGCAAAGUGGCUCUAAUCAACUCCUGCUUAUCCUCUCUCCCUAUGUUUCUUAUGGGCUUUUAUCUUCUCAUGAAUGGCGUGCAUGCUGGCUUCGACAAAAAUAGGGGUGCCUUCUACUGGAAUUCCGCUGAUAACAAAAGAAAGUAUAGGCUGGUCAAGUGGCAACUUAUGUGUAAACCUAAGAACCUUGGGGGGUUAGGCAUUAUUAAUACUCGGGUGAUGAACAUUUGUUUGCUUAUCAAGUGGUGGUGGAAAAUU
rnacentral:rRNA from 1 species